rnacentral:rRNA from 1 species
UGGGGAAUAUUGCACAAUGGGCGCAAGCCUGAUGCAGCCAUGCCGCGUGUGUGAAGAAGGCCUUCGGGUUGUAAAGCACUUUCAGCGAGGAGGAAGGGUAGUGUGUUAAUAGCACAUUGCAUUGACGUUACUCGCAGAAGAAGCACCGGCUAACUCCGUGCCAGCAGCCGCGGCAAUACGGAGGGUGCAAGCGUUAAUCGGAAUUACUGGGCGUAAAGCGCACGCAGGCGGUUUGUUAAGUCAGAUGUGAAAUCCCCGCGCUUAACGUGGGAACUGCAUUUGAAACUGGCAAGCUAGAGUCUUGUAGAGGGGGGUAGAAUUCCAGGUGUAGCGGUGAAAUGCGUAGAGAUCUGGAGGAAUACCGGUGGCGAAGGCGGCCCCCUGGACAAAGACUGACGCUCAGGUGCGAAAGCGUGGGGAGCAAACA